rnacentral:ribozyme from 14 species
AAAGAGACUCGGAGGAAGAAAAAAAGGAAAACGUCCUGAGGUCGACUUUUGGAUCUCCGUGAUUGUAAUAUUUUUGUUUUAUUUUUCUU